CGACCUAAAGUCGGUAGCCAGCCGAGUGGUGUCGGGCCCCUCCAUCGGUCGGCGAGCUUCAUGUAAGUCGGCCAUAUAACCUCGAGGUUCAGUCGGUCGGGAUGGAUACGUCCGACAUACCCCCAAUCGGCGAUGGGCCGUUGGACGGCCGGCGGUUAGCCGCUGAUGGCAUCCGUCAGUCGGUCGCACCGACCGACGAUCGGUCGGCCUAUCGGCCAGUCGGAGUCGUCCAACGGAGGCGGUCAGGCCGUCAGGCGGGCGGGCGGUCGG
rnacentral:lncRNA from 1 species